rnacentral:rRNA from 1 species
GCUGUGGUACUGCGCUGGUUGCGCUGUCCGAGCUCUCCUGACUAGUCAGUGUUGCCCACCCUUGUGGUGGUGUCUUGCUUUCUGGAAUGGUUUGCCGUGUCAGUGUUUAGCUUGCCCUUUGGGUGAGAACCGGUGUUAAUGUCGAUCACCGUUCUGUCCCGUCUUGAAACACGGACCGAGGAGUGUAACUUGUGCGCGAGUCAGAGGGUGUUAAACCUUACGGCGAAAUGAAAGUAAAGGUCGAUUAAUCGGCUGAGAUGGGAUCCUUGCUUUACGGCUUGGCGCACCAUCGCCCUGUCUCGAAAGCUUGCUUUUGGGCAGAGGUAGAGCGUACAGGUUGCGACCCGAAAGAUGGUGAACUAUGCUUGAGCAGAACGAAGCCAGAGGAAACUCUGGUG